AACGAACGCUGGCGGCGCGCUUAACACAUGCAAGUCGAACGAGAAGGCGUAGCAAUACGCUGGUACAGUGGCGAACGGGUGAGGAAUACAUGGGUAACCUACCCUCGAGUGGGGGAUAACCCGCCGAAAGGCGGGCUAAUACCGCGUACGCUUCCGAUCUUGCGGGAUCGGAAGGAAAGCUGUCCCAAGGGGAUGGCGCUCAAGGAUGGGCUCAUGUCCUAUCAGCUUGUUGGAGGGUAACGGCCUACCAAGGCAUCGACGGGUAGCUGGUCUGAGAGGACGAUCAGCCACACUGGCACUGCGAC
rnacentral:rRNA from 1 species